GGUGAACGCUGGCGGCGUGCUUAAGACAUGCAAGUCGAACGCAGUCUUCGGACUGAGUGGCGCACGGGUGAGUAACACGUAACUGACCUACCCCCAAGUCGCGGAUAACUGGCCGAAAGGUCAGCUAAUACGUGAUGUGAUGUCCCCUUUCUGGGGGGCCAUUAAAGGUUUACUGCUUGGGGAUGGGGUUGCGUUCCAUCAGCUAGUUGGCGGGGUAAAGGCCCACCAAGGCAACGACGGAUAGCCGGCCUGAGAGGGUGGACGGCCACAGGGGCACUGAGACACGGGUCCCACUCCUACGGGAGGCAGCAGUUAGGAAUCGUCCACUAUGGGCGAAAGCCUGAUGGAGCGACGACGCGUGAGUGAUGAGGGUUCUCGGAUCGUAAACCUCUGAAUCAGGGACGAAAGACGCGUAAGCGGGAUGACGGUACCUGAGUAAUAGCACCGGCUAACUCCGUGCCAGCCGCCGCCGUAA
rnacentral:rRNA from 1 species